GACGUAGGGGGCCAGCGUUGUUCGGAAUUACUGGGUGUAAAGGGUUCGUAGGCGGUGCGGCAAGUUGGGAGUGAAAUCUCUGGGCUUAACCCAGAGGCUGCUUCCAAAACUGCUGUGCUUGAGUGUGGGAGAGGCGCGUGGAAUUGCAGGUGUAGCGGUGAAAUGCGUAGAUAUCUGCAGGAACACCCGUGGCGAAAGCGGCGCGCUGGACCACUACUGACGCUGAGGCGCGAAAGCUAGGGGAGCGAACGGG
rnacentral:rRNA from 1 species